ensembl:miRNA xtr-mir-29c xtr-mir-29c
UCCCUUACACAGGAUGACCGAUCUCUCUUGGUGUUCAGAGGCUCAGGUCUUCAUCUAGCACCAUUUGAAAUCGGUUAUAAUGUAAGGUGA